GUGCCAGCAGCCGCGGUAAUACGGAGGAUCCAAGCGUUAUCCGGAUUUAUUGGGUUUAAAGGGUGCGUAGGCGGCAUACUAAGUCAGGGGUGAAAUUCGGCAGCUUAACUGUCGGCGUGCCUUUGAUACUGGUGUGCUUGAAUGCGGAUGAGGUAGGCGGAAUGAGACAAGUAGCGGUGAAAUGCAUAGAUAUGUCUCAGAACUCCGAUUGCGAAGGCAGCUUACUAAGCCGUGAUUGACGCUGAUGCACGAAAGCGUGGGGAUCAAACAGGAUUAGAUACCCUGGUAGUCCACGCCCUAAACGAUGAUAACUCGAUGUCGGCGAUAUACAGUCGGUGUCUUAGCGAAAGCGUUAAGUUAUCCACCUGGGGAGUACGGCCGCAAGGUUGAA
rnacentral:rRNA from 1 species